UGUUGUCUAUACUGAGGCCUUGUGGGAAAUAACUAUGGCUGACCUUCCAACUAUUCAAAGAUGGUGCUUUUUUCCCUCUUUUUCACUGUGGAUGUAUCCUGCAUGUGUAUACAGACCAAAACAUGAUAACCCAGUGCAAUCAAAGUACAUAUACUGCUAUAUGCUGUAUGAUCUCGCUUUAAAAAGGAACAAAGUGUAUUCACUAUUACUAUCAUAUGAUAUGUUUGCAUUUUCAAUGUGCAUUUUUAUGACACAGACUUUUGUUCAAACAAAAGUGAGAAAAAAAAGACAAGGAUGUGUAUUGGUGCUACACACACGAGACAUGUAUCACAUAACUACAGUACUUCAUUGAAACAUUUCUAAAACAUGGAGGCACAGUAUAACAUGGUCAUUGUCAUCAUUUCAUACUGCAUAUAUUGCCAUGGCAACUAGAAUGAGUGAAAGCUCAACAGUGAGUGCAGGGGGUUAAUGUGUGUUUUGGGAAAAAGUGAGAGAUUUCCCAUGAAAUUUCAAUUGAAAGACUUAUUUUUCUAUAUUAUGUAUAUCUUUAAAUACUCAAAACUGCAAUAAACUUGCCAUGUACUAGAGACAAUAUUGCACAGUUCUAAGGUGAAAUUUGAGACAAAAAUUAUAGUUUUGGACUCGCUUGACAAAUUGGAAGUUUUAAUCUUUGCUCUUUUUUAGUUGUGUUUUAUAGAAAAGAUUAUUUUGACUUGGUUUAUGAUGAAAUGUAGAAUGCAAGUUGACUGCAGCACAAGAAGAAUAUAUGUGUAUUGAGGAAGAGAGGGAGAAAAGAAUGAAUGAAUUUGUAUAUACCGGUAUUGUGAGAGAUGGAUGGAGAGAAAGAAAGAGGAAAUCAAAGACUAAAGUGCCCACCUGUGUAGAGUUCAACUCUUCAUUAAUUAUCAUUUCCUGUUAAUCCUUUGUUAAAGGUGUGUCUUGUAUUUCAACAACUGACUCUGGCUUCCACUGUAGAGGAAUUUCUCUGUCUUAUACAUUGAUGUUUAACCAAAGAAAACUUCCUCCAAGAAAAAUGUAAAAGCUGUUUCCAACACUGCCAUGUUAUGUAGCAAGUAUAUGAAUUCCAAUGAUAACUGUUGUAAAGAAGGAUGCUCUUUUUUAUUGCAUGAUCUUUUGUAUUUUCAACCUGUUCAAAAAACUUUUAGCUUUUCAACUUUCUUUCAUUUAAGUUCAUCCUUUUUAGAAGUCAUUUGUCAUUACUAUAUUUUAGAAGUUGUGCAAGAAAGUUGUAUUUAUAAUUAUUAAAGUUUAUUAAAACAG
rnacentral:misc_RNA from 1 species